UCACUCUGUUUUCUCUUCAUAACACACGUCUUUUGCCUUUUACUAAAGAACUUCCUUGGAGGGGAACACAGAUGAGCUAAAACUUAUUUAGGUGGGCUAUGCUGUAUGGCCG